GACGAACGCUGGCGGCGUGCCUAAUACAUGCAAGUAGAACGCCGAAGGAGGAGCUUGCUUCUCUGGAUGAGUUGCGAACGGGUGAGUAACGCGUAGGUAACCUGCCUGGUAGCGGGGGAUAACUAUUGGAAACGAUAGCUAAUACCGCAUAAUAGCAGUUGUUGCAUGACAACUGUUUGAAAGGUGCAAUUGCACCACUACCAGAUGGACCUGCGUUGUAUUAGCUAGUUGGUGGGGUAACGGCUCACCAAGGCGACGAUACAUAGCCGACCUGAGAGGGUGAUCGGCCACACUGGGACUGAGACACGGCCCAGACUCCUACGGGAGGCAGCAGUAGGGAAUCUUCGGCAAUGGACGGAAGUCUGACCGAGCAACGCCGCGGGAGUGAAGAAGGUUUUCGGAUCGUAAAGCUCUGUUGUAAGAGAAGAACGAGUGUGAGAGUGGAAAGUUCACACUGUGACGGUAUCUUACCAGAAAGGGACGGCUAACUACGUG
rnacentral:rRNA from 1 species